rnacentral:lncRNA from 1 species
CGUCACAGAGGAUAGUGAUCAAUCUAUUUAAGAUCGAUACACAGAUCACCUUUUCUUUAGACAGAUGAGUCUUGAGUCUGUGGUGUAAGGAUACUAAGAUGAUAGUGCAAGUGGUUGUUAGAGAACAACUUGCACUAAGUGUGAUCAACAUGAGAAAUCACUUGGAUAUUUAUUCACUCAUCAGUGGUCUUUUCAAUACUGCAGUAGUGUGAGUGAUCCUUUGAUCUACGAUGUCAUUGGCUAUUCGCAGUGAGCCUAUUUAGUUUGAC